AUUGAACGCUGGCGGCAUGCCUUACACAUGCAAGUCGAACGGCAGCACGGGUGCUUGCACCUGGUGGCGAGUGGCGAACGGGUGAGUAAUACAUCGGAACGUACCUUAUCGUGGGGGAUAACGCAGCGAAAGCUGUGCUAAUACCGCAUACGCCCUGAGGGGGAAAGCGGGGGAUCGCAAGACCUCGCGCGAUUAGAGCGGCCGAUGCCUGAUUAGCUUGUUGGUGGGGUAAAAGCCCACCAAGGCGACGAUCAGUAGCUGGUCUGAGAGGACGGUCAGCCACACUGGGACUGAGACACGGCCCAGACUCCUACGGGAGGCAGCAGUGGGGAAUUUUGGACAAUGGGGGCAACCCUGAUCCAGCAAUGCCGCGUGAGUGAAGAGGGCCUUCGGGUUGUAAAGCUCUUUUGUCAGGGAAGAAACACCGGCUCUAACACAGUCCGGGAAUGACGGUACCUGAAGAAUAAGCACCGGCUAACUACGUGCCAGCCGCCGCGGUAA
rnacentral:rRNA from 1 species